AACUAUGUGCCAGCAGCUGCGGUAAUACAUAGGUCGCGAGCGUUAUUCGGAUUUAUUGGGCGUAAAGCAAGCGCAGGCGGACAGAUAAGUUUUGUGUUAAAAGCAGUUGCUCAACAAUUGUUUGCGCUGAAUACUGUCUGUCUAGAAUACGGUAGGAAGUUUUGGAAUUGAAUAUGGAGCGGUGGAAUGUGUAGAUAUAUUCAAGAACACCAGAGGCGAAGGCGAAAACUUAGGCCGCUAUUGACGCUUAGGCUUGAAAGUGUGGGGAGCAAAUGGGAUUAGAUACCCCAGUAGUCCACACUGUAAACGAUGGAUAUUAGAUGUUGGGGCUUGUGCCUCAGCGUUGUAGCUUACGUAUUAAAUAUCCCGCCUGGGUAGUACAUAUGCAAAUAUGAAACUCAAAGGAAUUGACGGGGACCUGAACAAGUGGUGGAACAUGUUGCUUAAUUCGAUAAUACACGAAAAACCUUACCAAGGUUUGACAUCCCCCGCGAAGCUAUAGAAAUAUAGUGGAGGUUAUCGGGGUGACAGGUGGUGCAUGGCUGUCGUCAGCUCGUGUCAUGAGAUGUUUGGUUAAGUCCCGCAACGAGCGCAACCCUACUCUUUAGUUAGUUGUCUAAAGAGACUGAACAGUAAUGUAUAGGAAGGUUGGGAUCACGUCAAGUCAUCAUGCCCCUUAUGCCUUGGGCUGCAAACGUGUUACAAUGGCGAGUACAACGUGCCGCAAACCAGCGAUGGUAAGCUAAUCACUAAAAGCUCGUCUCAGUCCGGAUAAAAGGCUGCAAUUCGCCUUUUUGAAGUUGGAAUCACUAGUAAUCCCGUGUCAGCUAUAUCGGGGUGAAUACGUUCCCAGGUCUUGUACAC
rnacentral:rRNA from 1 species